rfam:Cricetulus griseus cell line CHO-K1, whole genome shotgun sequence.
GCAUGAGAAAGUGAUCUGGCUAUGACGUUUGUCACCCCAUUGAUCUGCGGUAAUGACAGGGUGACAUGGAUGGUGAGGUGUCCCCUUCCUCCCUCCCUGACUGCUUCAACCCUCCUGAAACCACACAGAGAGGAUGCCUCCCUAGGAUGGAGGACUGCUGUCAUGCAGUCAAGGGUAAAUGGCCAGCCUUCUCCCUGGCAAGAGCCUCCAAACAAACUUUGGAGAAAACCAUUUGCAAUGGGAGAUAUUCAUAGGACUUCACUUUCAGU